GACGAACGCUGGCGGCGUGCUUAACACAUGCAAGUCGAGCGGUAAGGCCCUUUCGGGGGUACGACGAGCGGCGAACGGGUGAGUAACACGUGGGUGACCUGCCCUCAGCUCUGGGAUAAGCCUGGGAAACCGGGGUCUAAUACCGGAUAUGACUCCAUGACGCAUGUUGUGGGGUGGAAAGCCUUGUGCGGCUGAGGAUGGGCCCGCGGCCUAUCAGCUUGUUGGUGGGGGUGAUGGCCUACCAAGGCGACGACGGGUAGCCGGCCUGAGAGGGCGACCGGCCACACUGGGACUGAGACACGGCCCAGACUCCUACGGGAGGCAGCAGUGGGGAAUCUUGCGCAAUGGGCGAAAGCCUGACGCAGCGACGCCGCGUGAGGGAUGACGGCCU
rnacentral:rRNA from 1 species